CCAAGAUGACAACUGAAUCUAUGGGAACUGAUGAGAUCACAAAGUGAUAGAGUAUAUACAGGGAGAAGAGGGCCUAGUAUAGAACCUGAGUGUCACAAAAUUCCAGAAAGGAGAGAAUAUGAUAAUCAGUGUUAUGUAUCUGAGAUGUUAAGAAGGAUGAGGACUAAAACGUUCACCAGCCAACUAGAAGACAUAUCAUCAUCUACAUCACUGCCAGUGCCUUCUAUUGCAAGAAUACCAUUCCUGAUGGCAGGAAUCAUGUACAGUUGCUGGAUCACUGAAUUCAUAUAACAAGUAGCACCAGCAUUUUUCAGCCCCACAAAUCCUUUUGGUGGUCGAGGUCCAACCGGUGGCAGAUAUUCCCAUUCCGUAAGUGCCUCACAAGCUGAGAAAGAGUGAUUAAAAGGAGUUGUCACAA